UUAGGUUUUCUCGAAGUGUUCAAACGAAAAAGCAACAAUCUAUUGCAUUGAAUAUUCAUCUCAUAUAUGGUGAUGGUAUUCCAAAGAUCUACACACCGAUGGUAUUUUUCAAUCAGUUAGUGCGGACUGUUAUCUAUGAAGUAAUCAUGACACACGAUGUACACUAUAUAAAUAUAACUUUGAAAAACUAUAUGCAAGUAUUAUACUAGUCAAAUUUAAAGGGAAUUAGAAUACUAAGACACCUAUGAGGUAAAAUACAACUUCAGCGAUAAAGAAAGGAUUAUCACAUUACAAUUGUGAAGCUAUAAAAAAGUAGUUUAAUAACGAAGUUCAUAAAACAAAAAAAUUAGUAAGUUAUCUGCUAAAAUUCUAUUAAAUUAUUGUUUCUAUAGGCUGGAUUUUAAAAUCAACUAAGACUCGACAAGACUAAUCUUACACAGGUUGGUGAAACAACUGAAUAAGAAGAAGGUAUACAAAAAGUGUACGCAACUUGAUUUAAUCGGAAUUCCCAAUGGAUUUUCAAAAAGUAAUCAAAAUCUAGAAAAAGAUUGACGCAGUUCGAAAACAUAAUAAUACUAUAAUACAAAAUUCUAUAAUUCAAUGAGCAAUCAAGAACUAGUUUUUAUUUGAAGAAAGUUUUAUAAUCAUUAUUUUUUAAAUAACUGCGCACUUACGGAAAAACUAAAAAUACGAAGAACACCAAACUUUUUAUAAAAUCAGCGAAUGAUUAAACAACAUUUAAAGAAGUACUACAAAUAUUUCAUUUAGAUCCUAUAAUAGAAUUUACAAAAUAUAUAUUUGUAGGGUGAUCCUUAUUUGACCAACUUUAAAAAAUCGAAUGAGAGAACGUCAUAUUUUGUUCUA